UACGUAGGAGGCGAGCGUUGUCCGGAAUUACUGGGCGUAAAGCGUGCGCAGGCGGCUUCGCAAGUCAGACGUGAAAUCCCCGGGCUUAACCUGGGAAUGGCGUUUGAAACUACGGAGCUGGAGUAUGGCAGAGGGGGGUGGGAAUUCCACGUGUAGCGGUGAAAUGCGUAGAUAUGUGGAGGAACACCGAUGGCGAAGGCAGCCCCCUGGGCCAAUACUGACGCUCAUGCACGAAAGCGUGGGGAGCAAACAGG
rnacentral:rRNA from 1 species